rnacentral:rRNA from 1 species
GAAAUCCCGAGCUUGCUUGGGAGAGUAAAGUGGCGCACGGGUGAGUAACGCGUGGGUAACCCACCUUCGAAUCUGGGAUAAACUCCGCGAAAGCGGUGCUAAUACCGGAUAAGACCACAGCCGUUUCGGCGGCAGAGGUAAAAGCUGACCUCUCCAUGGAAGUUAGCGUUCGAGGACGGGCCCGCGUCCUAUCAGCUUGUUGGUGGGGUAAAAGCCUACCAAGGCAGCGACGGGUAGCUGGUUUGAGAGGAUGAUCAGCCACACUGGAACUGGAACACGGUCCAGACUCCUACGGGAGGCAGCAGUGAGGAAUUUUGCGCAAUGGGGGAAACCCUGACGCAGCAACGCCGCGUGGGUGAAGAAGGCUUUCGGGUCGUAAAGCCCUGUCAGGUGGGAAGAAACUCUUCAGUACUAAUAAUGCUGAAGCUUGACGGUACCACCAGAGGAAGCACCGGCCAACUCCGUGCCAGCAGCCGCGGUAAUACGGAGGGUGCAAGCGUUGUUCGGAAUUAUUGGGCGUAAAGAGCGUGUANGCGGCUUGGUAAGUCAGAUGUGAAAGCCCUGGGCUCAACCCAGGGAAGUGCAUUUGAAACUACCAGACUUGAGUACGGGGAGAGGAGGGGGGAAUUCCCGGUGUAAAAGGUGAAAUUCGUAGAUAUCGGG